UGACCUCCGCUGAGGCCAUGAGCAUGAACUACUGAUCCAAAAGCACAGACUGAGCCUCACCCAUGGGCUCCCAGGUCUCUGCUGACAUCCACUGUCACCUGCCUCCAGCAGGAGGGACAUUCAUGCCUCAGCCUGCCCCGGUGACCUUGGGAUUCUUGUGGGAAUUCCUACUGAGGCGAGGUGACGUCUGAAAGCAGAACCCGGUGGUCAACGUCAAGUCACCCGACCUCACCGAGUCGACAAAUAUUUGUUGGGCAUCUGGCGUGUGCCGCUGCAGUCAACGAGAAAGUCCGGGGAGCUUUCGUUCUCGUAGGGGAGGUUAACGUAAACGCUAAUAAAUACCAUAAAAAUGAUCA
rnacentral:lncRNA from 1 species